GCCCGGUUAUGAGGUCUCCCUGCGGGCCCGCUCCUCCACGCCCCCAGCUUGCGGGGCCAGCCAGGAGCCCGUGUGGGCGCGGGGCCCCAGAGGCGGGGCUCCCCCCAGGCUCCCCACGGGGCAGGGUCCCCAGUGCGCCCCCUCCCCCAGCGCCACGGCUGCCGCGUCCAGGACCUCGGCUCAGCGGAGCUCACGCCCAGCAGCGCAGCGUGGACACCGAGCCGACAGCCGGACACCGAGCGCGCGGCCGGCCGCGGCCACCUGGGUCUGCGGGAGGAACCUGCCCCGCCCGGCCAGGGUCACGCAGCAGCAGGCGGCCGAGGGCUGAUCGCGGCUCCGUGGCUCUGCUCGGUCCCUGGCGCCAGCGCCGACCCCCCAACGCCCACCCUGCAGGCGCAGCAGGUCCACCCCCGCCCACCUCGCGGGCGCAGGGGCCGGGGCUCAGAGCCUCGGUCGGACGGUCAGUCCGCGGACAGCAGCUCAGCGCCCUCGACGCCGGCGGGCUGAGAGGACACCUGGGGGCCUGCAGCCGCGUGGUAGCCCUGGCCACCUGGGCAGGCAGGUGGAGCCCUCAGGCCAUGACAGGUGCCCUGACCUUCGGGGCACAUCCCUCAGCGCUUCUGGAAGGGCACCCCAAAGCUGCCUCUAUGUUUCUUUUUUUUUUUUAUUUGACAGGUAGAGUUAUAGACAGUGAGAGAGAGAGACAGACAGAGAGAAAGGCCUUCCUUCUGUUGGUUCACUCCCCAAAUGGCCGCAACGGCCAGAGCUAUGCCAAUCUGAAGCCAGGAGCCAGGUGCCCCAGGCCCUGGGGCUCUGCCCUGGGAAGGCACUGAUGCUGUGUUGCUCUCACAUCGUGAGUUCAUUUCUUUGAGACUGGACCAAGAUCAAAGAAAGAGCCUGACCCUGGAUCCCUCUGGCUUCCUGCCUCACCACAAUGCCACAGCCACGGCCACAGCCACGAGGCCCUCGCCAGACCCGGGCAGAAGCCAGUGCUGCGGCCUUGAACCUCCGGAGCUAAAUGCACCUCCUUUCUUUAUACGUUUGCCAACCUCAGUGUUCAGUUGGAGCCAUGGGAAAUGGACAGAGACCGGCGCUCAUGCAACCUGACCUUGGCUGUUUCACCAUGGCCUCCUGCCUCUUCCUGGUCACGGCGCAGGGCGAUGACGUCAGGGCCAGCUCUCAUCAGCGGCAGCUUCCUGCUUCCUGAUCCUCUAUGCCCAUUUUACAUGGUGCACCAUCUUACACGGUGCCAGAUGUUUGUGGCCCGUGCUGGGCUCUGGGCAGACCAGGCCUUUCUGGAAAGGACCCUGCAGCCUCUACCCCCGUUCCUGCUCAGGCCUCGCUCUGGCCAUGCAGGGUAAGAACAACCCGGGUCCUGGCGGCAGGCAGCUAAGACGUAUGGGAUUUAAUAAGCGCGUCGGGGCUGGGCGCGGCGCGGCUGUGCUACCCGCUCUUGUGGGAGGUAAAUUUCCUUCUUUUGUAAUCGGGGGUGUCUGGAGCAGGUGACCCACUCUGUGUUACCACGACCGGGUUAUUAUGGCCAUAAAUCCUUCUGCCUCUGCUCCUUCCAUUUACAUUAAAUACAGUCUCCGUUAGGGCGUCUAAAUUAGCUUUCAGAGGAGAAACCCUUGUGUAAUUUAAAGGGGAUGCGGAAUGCGACUGAGACAGGGGAACG
ensembl:lncRNA